AAAGGAAAUCAUCCAUUCAAAUUAAUUCAUUACAAGUCCAGAAAACGAAUCCAAGAUGCCCUACGCCUCAAUAGUUAUGGGCACUACAAACCUAAAAUUAACCACACAAUUAUGAAGCCCAUAACCAUUACAUAGUCCCUCACAAAAUAAGAUCUUAAGUAUAGAAAAUUAAAUAUGACUAUAAAAAUUUAUGUACGAAAAUUUAUUAAAACUACUAGUUAAAUGAGAAAGCCCCAAAUUUCUUUAAAUAGUCCUCCAUCAAAAGAUACUAAAAUUCAAGGAUAUAAAACAUUUUGACUUUUUAUUAUUUUCAAAUAAAAUUCACAAGUUGUCUUCAAUUCAUAUUUAUAGGCAAUUCAGAAGAACUUUAAUCAUCUACCAAACAUCAAUAUUAACCACAAGAUAUCAAAACUAGAAGCAGCUUGUAG
rnacentral:misc_RNA from 1 species